ACAAAACUCCUCCUUUCUCAUCUGGGGCGGUCUCGAAAUGGAAGUACAGAACCAGGAGGAGUGUAAUCGUAUUCUGAGAGAAGUAUUUGGGGAUUCUUCAUCAGAACCAGAAUUAGAAGAAGAUGACGAUGAUAUCAGAACCCCUAAUUCGGGAUGGAUCAAAAUCAAAAAGAUUAAGGGUUUAUGGUUAUUCAAAGAUUUUCUCUCUUUACAACAACAAGCUUCACUGCUUUCAGCAAUCAAAAGUGAGGGAUGGUUUACUGAAGAAGAAGAAGAAGAAGAAGAAGAAGAAGAAGAAAUCUCUUCUCAAAAUCAGGCAAUGAGAUUUGGUGAUCUUCCAUCAUGGGCUAUUCAACUUUCUAACUCUAUUUGCGAAACAAUUUGUUUCAAUCAGGAUGGUGAUGGGGAUGCGGAUGAUGAAAUGAGUGUUUUUCCGGCUAAUUUGCUGUGGAGAGAGCCCCUCUUUGAUCAACUCAUAGCUAAUGCUUACCAACCAGGUGAGGGAAUAGGUGCUCAUAUAGACUUGAUGAGGUUUGAGGACGGAAUUGCCAUCGUCUCUUUAGAAUCUGAAUGUGUGAUGCACUUCACUCGACUUGAAACGGAAGUGAACGCAUCCGAUUGCAUUGAGAAGGGAGAAGAAAAUGAAGAUCGUCAGCCUUUUAUUACAAAGAUCCCUGUUCUUUUGACACCAGGGUCUCUAAUUGUUAUGAGUGGAGAAGCACGAUACAAAUGGAAACAUGAAAUUAACCGAAAGCCAGGUUUUCAGUUGUGGGGAGGACAAGAGAUCCGUCAACAAAAGAGAAUUUCUGUUACAUUGAGGAAGCUUUGCGAGACGAAGUAAGCAUAUGUGAAAGCAAUGGAAUUAGAGCAUGUCCUAAAACGGCACUAAAUUGUGAGCAGGAUGAAGCGAAGGCAGUUCUCGAAUCGGUGUUGUGUAUACCAAUGAUGCAGAAAUUCAAAACCAGAUGUGGUUAGAUUUAUCAAUUAGUAGCGGCCAGACAACCGAAGGGAUGUGGUAUCUACAGAUAACGGGGUUCGUUCAGUCAUGAUGUGUAUAACAAUGAUGCAGAAAUUGAAAACCAGUCGAGAUUAGUUUCUAAUGGUAGCGGCCAGACAACUGUAGAGAUAUGGCAUUCACAUAUAACAGUCUCAGCUUCAGGGGUGAAUGGUCACUUCAUUCUCCCAGCUUCCUUCCAACCUUCUACAUGUCGACCCUGUCAUUCAACAACAGACGUCACUCUGCUUGCAUGUGUAGGAGGAAGCUAUUUGGGAUGCAGGAGGUAAGUUGAAAUUCAAUACAGGGUGGUCUCUCUUUCUCUUUGUUCUCAAGGAGUUGCACAAAAUAUCUAAACUUUAUGGGGAUGGAGAAGAACAUCUUUCGGCGGCUUUUCGAGAGCUCCCUCUUGCAGUAAAUUAUCUUAUUAGGCACUCAAAGAGGGCCGAUCAUCUAUGGCUUCUCAAAUGUGACAGUCCAAUAAAUUUCAAAUCAAGAAGAUAUUUGGUGGGGAUGAUGUUCCCCAAGGUCAAGGAUGAGAACGACAAGUUGCACAAACUUGUCAUUGACAGGUCCCUCUUAUUCUAGGAAUCGUUUGAAUUAAAACCCAAGUCCUUGCACAAUGGCAUUUUCGCGCAGUUCAAAGACGAGGUAGCUACGGGUCAUGGUGUAUUACGGGAGUGGCUUCUCUUGGUAUGCCAAGCACUCUUUAGUCCAGAAAAUUCCUUUCUUGUAGAAUCUAUGGUGUAUUUUUCUUGCAAUUAGCAGGGGAGGAAAUAUAUUUGGAAGGCAAACAAUGCGCCAGAUCCAAUCAUGUUUUGGAGUGGCAAAAAGAUUCUGGAGAUGGUUGCUGACUUUGUUGAUUCAGAUGCUGUGGGGUUAACAUUUGUCAGGGAAAUCGAAGAGUUCGGACUCAGGAAAACCGUGGAGUUGUCGUCUGGAGGGAACAGCACUGUUGUCACUAGUAAGAACAGAGAACAAUAUGUACAUCUUCUUAUUCAGCAUAUGUUUGUAAAAUCAAUCUCGGCAAAGGUUGCCUAUUUUGCAAGGGAUUUUGUUGAUAUUCUUUGUAAGACAAGGCUGAUUAUGCUAAAUUUUAUGAGGCGUUUUCGAAGAACUUGAAAUUGGGUAUCCAUGAGGACAGCCACAACAGAGCUAAGAUGGCUGACUUGCUCCGCUACUACUCUACAAAGAGUGGAGAUGAAAUGACCAGCUUGAAGGAUUAUGUUACAAGGAUGAAGGAGGGGCAAAAGGAUAUCUACUACAUCACUGGUGAAAGUAAGAAAGCUGUUGAGAACUCUCCAUUCUUAGAGAGACUCAAGAAGAGAGGCUAUGAAGAUCUCUUCAUGGUUGACGUCAUCGACUAGCAGUUGGGCAAUUGAAGGAAUACGAUGGGAAGAAGCUUGUUUCUGCAACUAAGGAAGGUUUGAAACUAGAUUAUGAGACAGAAGAGGAGAAGAAGCUGAGAGAGGAAAAGAAGAAGUCUUUUGAGAGUCUAUGCAGGAGAAUACAUGUAAAAUGCAUCAAGAUUGGCAAUGCCUCGUACAAAUACAAAUCCUUACAGAAAAACACACAAACAAAAUGUCUGUAAGAGUUGAAGCAUUCCUUUCAUUCCAGAUGCUCCAACAGGAGGACGCAGACCACUAGAGUUGAAGCAUGACCAUCUAGAGUUACCGGUGACACUACUACUAGACCAGAUGCGUAAAGUCAACUGGACGUAAGGACAUUCUCAUCAGCUUUGCACAGGCAGUACAUAUUGCGCGGAGGAUAACAAGACUUCAAAUUGCUUCGCGAAUAGAGUUAUGGAAGAUGACCAAACCAGACUGGUUUCCUACGGCGACCAGCCCCACAUGGUUUCUUGUAACGGUCCGUGAGUUAUAACCCCAAAGGUGUCACUAUCCAUCCACAAAAAAACUCAUCAAAAUAAAAAUAACACAAAAACUCCAUCAAAAUAAAAGUAACACAAAAGCCCCAAAGAAUUUGAUGAAAUCAAUUUUGAAAUUUGGAGUUUUUGUAUCAAUUUUUAAAAAUUUGGGGGUUUUGUAUCUAUCCUGUUAUAGGAGCAGGGGUUUCUAUCAGAGGGGCUGAACCAUGAUAGUAAUGUCCCUCUAGUUGGUUAGGGGAUGUCAUAUAGGGGCUGUAAAUUGUCUAGAUUACCCUUUCUGCUUUAGAUGGACUACUUUGCCCCUCAUUUUUUAGCUGAAA